GUCGAGAAUAAUUCACAAUGGGGGCAACCCUGAUGGAGCGACGCCGCGUGGAGGAUAAGGUCUUCGGAUUGUAAACUCCUGUCAUGCGUGAACAAGGUUGCUUGGUUAAUACCUGGGCAAAUUGAUGGUAACGCAAGAGGAAGAGACGGCUAACUCUGUGCCAGCAGCCGCGGUAAUACAGAGGUCUCAAGCGUUGUUCGGAAUCACUGGGCGUAAAGGGUGCGUAGGUGGCGUGGUAAGUCAGAUGUGAAAGCCCGGGGCUCAACCUCGGAACUGCAUCCGAUACUGCCAUGCUAGAGUACUGGAGAGGUGACUAGAAUUCUCGGUGUAGCAGUGAAAUGCGUAGAUAUCGAGAGGAAUACCAAAGGCGUAGGCAGGUCACUGGACAGUUACUGACACUGAGGCACGAAGGCCAGGGGAGCGAACGGGAUUAGAAACCCUGGUAGUCC
rnacentral:rRNA from 1 species